GCACAGAGUUAGCCGUCUCUUCCUCUUGUGAUACUAUCAAACUCCAACGCUAUUAACGCUAAAGUCUUGCUCUCACAUGACAGGAGUUUACAAUCCGAAGACCUUAUCCUCCACGCGGCGUCGCACCAUCAGGGUUUCCCCCAUUGUGAAUGAUUCUCGA
rnacentral:rRNA from 1 species